rnacentral:rRNA from 1 species
AGCAGCCGCGGUAAUUCCAGCUCCAAUAGCGUAUAUUAAAGUUGUUGCAGUUAAAAAGCUCGUAGUUGAAUUUCGGGAUCAAUAUGUUGGUCGUGCCUUGGUACGUACUGGCAUUAUCGAUUCCUACCUUCUGAAGAACCUCGAUGUCAUUAAUUUGGUGUCUUGGGGAAUCAGGACUGUUACUUUGAAAAAUUAGAGUGUUUAAAGCAGGCUCGCGCUUGAAUACAUUAGCAUGGAAUAAUGAAAUAGGACGUUUGAUUCUAUUUUGUUGGUUUCUAGGAUCGACGUAAUGAUUAAUAGGGAUAGUUGGGGGCAUUAGUAUUCAAUUGUCAGAGGUGAAAUUCUUGGAUUUAUUGAAGACUAACUACUGCGAAAGCAUUUGCCAAGGAUGUUUUCAUUAAUCAAGAACGAAAGUUAGGGGAUCGAAGACGAUCAGAUACCGUCGUAGUCUUAACCAUAAACUAUGCCGACUAGGGAUCGGAUGAUGUUAAUUUUUAAUGACUCAUUCGGCUACC